rnacentral:rRNA from 1 species
GACGAACGCUGGCGGCGUGCUUAACACAUGCAAGUCGAACGGAAAGGCCCUGCUUUUGUGGGGUGCUCGAGUGGCGAACGGGUGAGUAACACGUGAGUAACCUGCCCUUGACUUUGGGAUAACUUCAGGAAACUGGGGCUAAUACCGGGUAGGAGCUCCUGCUGCAUGGUGGGGGUUGGAAAGUUUCGGCGGUUGGGGAUGGACUCGCGGCUUAUCAGCUUGUUGGUGGGGUAGUGGCUUACCAAGGCUUUGACGGGUAGCCGGCCUGAGAGGGUGACCGGCCACAUUGGGACUGAGAUACGGCGCAGACUCCUACGGGAGGCAGCAGUGGGGAAUAUUGCACAAUGGGCGGAAGCCUGAUGCAGCAACGCCGCGUGCGGGAUGACGGCCUUCGGGUUGUAAACCGCUUUCGCCUGUGACGAAGCGUGAGUGACGGUAAUGGGUAAAGAAGCACCGGCUAACUACGUG